CUUAAUUUUGUAGCACAUCUAAAAUUGGAGUGAUACAGAAAAGAUUAGUAUUGCCCCUAUAUAAGAAUGACACACAAAUUCAUGAAGCAUUUCAUAUUUUG
rnacentral:snRNA from 1 species